UUAUUUCUUCAAUUCUCCCUUUGAGCGGCAAAUUGAAUACACGCUCUUUUUCUUCACCGCUUCUCGAUCAACCUUCAAUCUAAUCGGACUUUCCAUAAUGAAGAAGAGAACCUUUCCUCUGUAUCUUAUUUUGCAUUCACAAACCCUGAUUGCAUUCCCCUGCUGCAUUUUGCUGGAGUGAUUUGUUCUUCCAUCGGUAUUUUUUGUUUCUGAAUCAAUCUAUUUGUCUAAUUCAUCCUGUAAUUGUGUGUGUUAAUCUUUGAUUUUUAUAUGUUUUACUUAGAUUUCAUUUAUUUUCAUGUUUUUUUUGUAUGAUUGUCUCAAUUUUGGGGUUUAUUGUUAAGAUCAAAAACCCUAACUUUAUAUGUUCUUGUGUAUUAGUUGAUCCAAUGGUGGAUUAUUGGAUUACCGAUUUGUAUGCGAGAGGCACGCAGGUUCAGUUUUUAAUUUUUAUAAACCCUAUAAUAAUAUUUAUUAUUCAAGUAGAAUGAACUGGGCAAUCAAUCCUUGGCGAUUCAUCUCUCAAUCAUUCCUCUGGGUCGUUUGUUUCAUUUGUUGCUUCUUCAUCUCUGUAAUUUUCUGUCAUGUAUCCGUACUAUUGCUUGAAUAAACUGACAUUACCCAAGGUGGAUGAUGAUGAUGAUGAUGAUGUUGAGAAGGAGAAAGUAGACCUGUUUCUUCGCACAAGGUUAAGGAAUGUCGGGUUGCUGCAGUCAAUGAUCUUUGCUUUUGACUUGAAGAAAAUUAACUGAGAUACCACUCAGAGACAGAUGCAUUAUUUUGCCCCCACAGACCAAUGUGACACAGGUAGUGAAAACAAAGGAUGUCAUAGAAGUUACCACAGAUCAUGGUGAAGAGUUAAUGACAGAUAUUGUAAGUUUUGCCACUGGUAAUUUCUUUUCUCAUAAAAGAUAGUCAUUAUAGUUAAUACAAGAUUUUCUUUAUAUAUAAUUAAAUGAUGCUUGCUAAAUUUUAAAAUUGUAAUUUCUUUGCUGGUAAUUCGUUUUCUCAUAAAAGAUCAUCAUAGUUAAUGUUAAAUUUUCUAUAUAUAUAAUUAAAUGAUGCUUGCUAAAUUUUAAAAUUGUAAUUUUUAAUUAAGGGAAAAACAACUCAACACAAAACUUAAAAAUUAUAAAAUUUGUGGGACAUUUUGAAUUGGAGCUCCAACCUCCAAGUGAUGGAAAUUGGGCUGAUGAUUCCAUAUUUGCCAGCUCUUUAUAAAGGUGCUAAAAUGGUGGGUGGAUCAGGUAAUGGUUCAAAAUAGGGCCGGGUUGAAACGGGCCGAGUUAGGUUGAGGAUAACCAGAAAGGUUUUCUCCAUUUUUUUAUUAAUAACUAAUUUGUUAAUAAUGGUCUCAGAAAUAAUAUUAUCAGAAUAAUAAUCUAAAUCAUUUAGAGGCUUGAUAAAGAAUUUGUGACAUCAGCUUUAUAAAGGGAAUGUGUAUGAUCACUGAGGCUACUCGAAGGAAUACCAUGUAAUGGCAAAAAGUUAGUGGACUCUAGGAGGUUAUGCCAAAGUAAUUUCAGGUCAAAACUGGUAAUUUGUGGUAAAUGUCGAGUUUUCGAUCUUUAGACCUUAAAACACUUUGUCUGAAUUUUUUUAUGAAUAAAUUGUACGUUAUGUUUAAGUAAGUUAUACUAUUUCAAUAUUAGUAAAUCAUUUUGAAUAAAAUUGUUGUAAAGGUUUUGUGAAUUAAGAAUACUGUUUUGGUGCCCUCGACCCAUAUGAUCUUUUCCUUUUAGCUAGCUAUAUUUGAUUUUACCCGUUAAAGGUAACGUUUUUUGGGAUUGGCCAGAUGCCGGCGUGAAUAACCACAACCUUCUUAUCACGUUAUAAUCAAUAUAAAUCGCAUCGCAGGUAUUUGUUUAUUUAUUUAUUCUUUGCAAUGGAUAUUGGUUUGUUUUAAAACAUUUGUUUUCGAGGCUAUAAUUUUCUUGAUUACUGGUUCUAAAUGUUCAGAAUGUUAUACCUUAUUAGACAAUUGACACUUGAAUAUUCAUUUAUCCAUAAGUAUAUGUUUAUUCAUUUAAGGUGGUCAAUGAAAUGUUCAUGUUGUUCUCAAAAUUUAUUUCUUAAGGUUAUGGGUUGAUUAGGAAACAAGGGUUUAGAGGUUAGCUAUUGUUUUGUGAUGUGCGUGUAGUG